rnacentral:rRNA from 1 species
UGCAGUCGAACGAAAAACACUUUUUGUUUACAAAAAGUAUUUUUUAGUGGCGGACCGGUUAGUAAUACGUAAGCAACCUGCCUUGAAGAGAGAAAUAACUAAGAGAAAUUUUAGCUAAUGUCACAUAAGACCACACUAUGGCAUCAUAGAGAGGUCAAAGGGGAAACCCGCUUUAAGAUGGGCUUACGGCUGAUUAGUUAGUUGGAGUGGUAACGGCACACCAAGACUGUGAUCAGUAGCCGAGCUGAGAGGCUGGCCGGCCACAUUGGGACUGAGACACGGCCCAAACUCCUACGGGAGGCAGCAGUUGGGAAUAUUGGACAAUGGAGGAAACUCUGAUCCAGUGACGCCGCGUGAAGGAAGAAGGUCUUCGGAUUGUAAACUUAUUUUGUCAGGGAAGAAAAAAAUGACUGUACCUGAAGAAAAAGGACCGGCAAACUACGUGCCAGCAGCCGCGGUAAUACGUAGGGUCCAAGCGUUAUCCGGAUUUACUGGGUGUAAAGGGCGAGUAGACGGUUAGACAAGUCAGAUGUGAAAACUCAGGGCUCAACCUUGAGACUGCAUCUGAAACUGUCUGACUAGAGUGCAGAAGAGGUAAGUGGAAUUCCUAGUGUAGCGGUGAAAUGCGUAGAUAUUAGGAGGAACACCCGUGGCGAAGGCGACUUACUGGGCUGUAACUGACGUUGAGGCGCGAAAGUGUGGGGAGCAAACAGGAUUAGAUCCCCUGGUAGUCACACUGUAAACGAUGGAUACUAGGUGUAGGGACCGAUGUGCCUGUGCCGGCGCAAACGCAAUUAAUAUCCC